rnacentral:lncRNA from 1 species
UGGGUAUUGGUGGUGGGGUAGUAGGUGUAGGGGUUGUGGGUGGUGUUGGGUGGCGAUGGUGGUGGUGAUGGUGAAGACCAUUGUUGUUGUUGUUGUUGUUGUUGUUGUUGUUAUGGUGGUGGUGGUUAGAGUUGCUGCUAUUGCUACAGCUAGAACUGUUGGAGCUAUGAGUAUCUGGUGAUGAAAUAAGACAUGGGUUGUGAAAUUCUUGAGGUUUUGGUAAGGUUUCCAUUGAUGGGUCUGUAUCUCUAGAGAGAGAGAGCAAAUUAGCUGAAUUGAGUUGAACUUAAUAAGAGAAGCUUGAGAACAAGGGUAGUUAGCAAAGUAAGAGUUUAGUUUGGUAAGAAAUGUUUUCUUCUUCUUCCCGUUCAUCUUCACUUGUUCAACUAAUUAUUUGACUUACAAAGAAAUAGUAAAUAUUUAAAUUAAAAAAAAAUUAUCUUUUAACUUAAUAUCAAAUUAAAUCUAUAAUUUUUAAUUUAAAAUAUAUGUAAUUAAAUAUUUAAAUUUACAUAAAAUUAAAUAAAUAAAUAAAUAAAUACAUAUAUCUUAUAUGGUUUUGUACAUGAUCAAUUUUUACUGACAUCCUUCAUGUGAUAUGUUACUAUAUAAUAGCAAAAGUAAAAUGUGUAAAAAAUAAUAAAUUAUUCAUUAUUUUAAAUUAAAUAAAUAUUAUUAGAUAUCUAUUUUUAAUAUAAUGAACCAAAAAUGUUGAAUAAAUAAAAUAAUAAAUAAUAAAGUAUUUAAUAGAUAGGAUUAAAUAAGCACAAAAUAUUAAAUUAUUUAUAAAUUUUGCAAGUUGAACAAAUAUCAUUCAACAUUCAUUUUUUAUAGUGCGAAAAUUAUUGUCACCUCCAAAUAUUAAUUUAAAAAUUAAACUCUCUCCUAAAUUUUCAACAAUAAUCAACUUUCUUUGAUUUUAUAUAAUAGCUAUUUUAUUCGUGUUAUAUUAAAUAUAUUUAUGUAAUACCUCUUUAUAUUAUAUACAAUUUAUUAUUUUAACCUACCUAUUCAUAACUUUUAUUUAGGUUCAUUAACAUUAUAAGUAGAAUAAUACUUUUAUGGAUUUAUCACUAAAUUUAAUGUUAUUUUAAUGACUAUUAUUUCAAUAUUAUAUGCAGAUACGCUACAUAAACAUGCCCUUUACCUUGACGUCAGAUUACAUUUAUGAUCUUCGACUUUGGGUGUGUAAAAAUAAGCUCUUAAACUAGUAUAAAGUUGAACAAGUAGACACAUAUGUCCCAUGCAGCAUUCUACGUGGUCAAUUCUUGUCCUACGUGUAUUAUGCCACAUAGGACGUGUGUGCCUAUUUACUCAACUUUAUAAAAGUUUAAGUGCUUACUUGUGCACACCCAAAGUUCAAUGGCGGAUGUAGAGUAGAAGGUGUCCUACACCCGCUACCGUAAGGCUUAAAAUUACAUAGAAAAAUCAUCAAAAGUUAUAAAUAUUAAUAGGUGGGAACUCAUAACUAAACCAAGGGAUAGCUUAGUGGUAGGAAAGGCCCUUGGGAACCCACAAGUUUGAAAUUCUGGAUCCGCCUCUGUCAAAGUUAGAGGUCAUAGAUAUGAUUUGAGGUUAAGUUAAAGGACAUGUUUAUGUAUUAUUUAAGGGUGUGCAUCGAUCGAUUUGGUUCGAUUUUAUAUAUUAUCGGUUUGAUUUAUCGAUUUUCAGUUUUUAAAUAUGUUAAACCAAUAACCAAAUCGAUAAGAUAUUUUUUUUCGAUUUUCGAUUUAUCGAUUUUUAGUCCUUAUUGGUUCGAUUUUCGGCUAAACCGAUAAGAAAUACUCAUAAAAUAGAAAAAGUAGUAACUAGCAUGAAAAAAAUUUGAAUCUUAGUUGUAACAAAAAAAUCCUACAUGAUGUGUUUUAAUUCACAAGAAUCUUCAAGUUUGAACUAAAUGUUGUUAGGAGAAUUUAAGAGUUUGUAUAAUUGAAAUAAUAGGUUUGUUAAUUUAUAGAAAUUAAGAUUACGAAAAUCGAACCGAACCAAUAACCCAAUAAUUUCUUUUUAUAAAAUUAUUAAAAAUUCAUUAACCCAAUAACUCAAUAACAAUAAAUCAAUAACAUUUUUAUCAGUUUGGUUUAUCGGUCGACUCGUUUUUUGCACACCCUAUGUAUUAUGUCUUAUAUGUAUUAAGUGUGAAUAUAUAUGUACAUACAAGUGCAUUAUUUUUUGUCUUUUUUCACUCUCUUACUCCAAGCAUUUUAUAUUAUUUGGCCCUUCUUGAAAAGAAACAUUUCUUUUAAGAAAAAAAUAAUUAGAGCGUAUUUUAUUAAAUUAAUCUUGUUAAUAAAUUUUGAAACUUUAAAUUUGACACUGACUACUCUAUGCAGUUACUUAAAAUAUAUAUAUAAGAAAACAACAUUAAAAAGUUCUUUUGAUUUCAUAAAUUGAACAAGUAAUUAAACAUAAAUCUUUUAGUAUGAGGAUCAAAUAAUAUGAAACUGAAGGAGUAUUAUCCAUUGUCCAUAUAAAUAAAUAAAUUUUAAUUAUUAUUAAUGGAGUAUUACAUAAAUUACAAUUUAAAAUCAAAAUUCAAUAAAUACUAUCUAAAAAUUUGACCUUAGGUUAUUUUUUCUUUUAUCCUGCAUCGAAGUAUAUUUGUAUAGUUAUUACUUGUAUAAAUAAAUAUUGGAGUAUUAAUUAUUAUCAAUAAAAAUAAUUUUCUCAUUAUGUUAAUUAUUUUACUAUAGAAUAUUAUUAAUUUAUAUAUUUAAUUAGUAUUUCUCAUUUUUUUGUUCAAAAAAAUAUUUAUAUUUUUAUGAAAAAAUUAGUACAUGAUUUACUUUUAAAAAAAUGAAAAUGUCAUGAUCUUUUAAGAAAGAAAAAAAAGAAAAAGUUGAUAAUGAACGAAUAUAAUAAGAAUCGUUUGAUGUGACUAUAAGGUAUAAUAAUAUCGGGAUAAAUUGUGAUUACUGUAACGACAGGAUGCCGGCGAUUUCUUUAGUGGGGGAGGCAGUGGCUGAGUUGGGUGGUGGUACGCGGCGGUGGUGGAAUGUGAGAGUGAAAGUCCAACUGGUAACAGCCUAUUGGAACUUAGACCAAAGGAAAAAAAUAAAAUAUUACUCCACUAUGUGAGAAAUUAAAGUUUCAAUGUUUGCCAUUGACUUAAAGGGACCUACUUGAAAUUGAAAGCUGACGAUAUAUUAAUAUGUGAGGUGGGUCCCUAUUCUUUGUUUUUAUAUUACAAUUUUUUGUUUCUAUAUGUUCUUUGGCUUUGUGGAAAGUGGUGCACUAAUCAAGGUUUAGAAUAAAACCUGAUACUAAUUUUAAAAUUAACUUUUGAUUCUUUCUUUGAGUGAUCCAAGUUCUAUGUAAAUAUACUAGUCCAAUUUUGUCUUGUGUCUAGGGAUCUUUCUCCUCAAAUGCCAACUCUCAAACAUGAGUUUUUCAAAUGAAAGCUAGCCUCAUUUGUCCAUAAAAAUAAUAAUUUUUUAAUUUAUAUUUGACCAUUAAUAUAUAUUAACGUUGUUUUUAAAAUUUUGUGAAAGAAAUAAAAAUAAAAAAAGUAAAAACAAAACUUAGUUUCAAAACAAUUUUCACAAAAAUUUAUAUGUAAUUCAAGAUGGAGGUGUUAUUUUUCUUUCAACCAAAUAGUAUCCAAAAUUUUCUUUCACUCAUUAAUGAUUAACAAUUGAAGACGAAGGUGGGGUAACUUGCUCUUUGUUUUUAUUGAUAAUUCUUCAUUUGAGUAAAACCUGAAAAUACCAAUUGCUUUUAUGGAAUAAGUCUCUUAUAGUAAACACAUAAAUAUGUCUUGUCCCCAAACUUACUUUCCGAAUGCUAGAAAGAAAAGUUUAGCAGCGAUUUCACCAUAAAAAUUAAAAAAUUUUGAAGUUGAAGUUGUAUUUGGUCUUUUUUUUUUUUUUUUUUUUUUUUUUAACUUUUAAAAAAAAAAAAUUUAAAUAUAAUUUUAUGCCCCAACUUUUACAAACUAUCAAAAUCACUCAACUAAAAUUUACCUACUAACGAGAAAAGAACACAAUUAGCAACUUUUAUAAAAAUAAUUACAUAUACAUGGCCAUAUUUAAUAAAUUUCAAUUAUGACAUAUAUAAUAUUUACAUUAAUAGUCGUUUUCUCAUAUUUAAAAAUUUUCAAUAUGAAUGUUAUAUUAACAGAUCAAUGUUUCCUAUUUUUUAGAUAACAAAUAUUAUCUUUCAAACAAAUUCAUUUUUUUAGAAAUUUAUUUAAUUUAUUUUCUUUAUUUUUCGUUCCUAAAAAAUAGAAAAUGAUGAGUUGUUAUUAAAUUUUAGGGUGCCGCUAAUUUAUUUCUUUAAUUUUCUUAUACAUGAAAGAUUUUACUGUGUGUGAAUAAAUUAUUUCUAUGUAAAACAUACUUUGCAUAUUUAUGGUAUAUUAUAUCAUAUACCAUAAAUAUAUAAACAUGCUUAGUAUGUUUCUUUAUACUUUGUAUAUUUAUAUAUGUGUGUAUAUGGUAUAUACAUGGUACAAAUUUCAUAUAUAACAUACUUUGUAUAUUAAUGUUAUAAAUAUGCGUAGUAUGUUUCUUAAUACUUUGUAUAUUUAUAUAAUGAUAUAAACUUUAUAUAUAACAUACUUUGUAUAUUUCUGCUAUAAAUAUAAUAUUUUAUUUAUUUAUGAGUGUAAAUAUAAUAUUUUGUGUGUAAAGAUACCAAGUAUUAUGGUAUACAAAGGUAACAGUUGCAGUUUAAGGUAUAAAUUUGUUAAAUUGGACAUUUUUUUUUUAUGAAAAAUAUGUAUCACCAAUUUAUUUUUGUAGCAUAUAUAUGGUAUAAAUUAUUUAUAUUUGAAUAGUAUAAUAAAGAUAAUCAAAUUAAAAAUGAGAAUAAUUUGUGAUAGUGGUAAACUAAUCUGCUACAACUUUAUUAAUUCCAUAAAUAUAGAAAACGAUUAUCCAUUAUUAAUUACACGACUAUAAUUCCUUAAACGUCCGUAUCAUAACAGAAAAAUUAUUAUUGUUAUUAUAUUAUAGUAAUUAGGAUCAUUAGCAGUAAAUAAUGUCUUAGAUAAGGGAGAAAAUUAAAUAAGAGAGAAAAAUAAUGAUGAGAGAGAAGAAGAGAUAUAUAUUAAUUAGGAUAACAUUAAGUUUGAAAUUAUAAUUAUCUUAUUCUUUAAAACUGUUAUAUACGUAAUAUUGAAAAAAUAAUGUUAUAAGGAGAAUUUUAUGUAAAAUUUUAAAAAUUGGGAUUAUAUGUAAUAAUAAUAAAAGUUGGAAUUGAAAAAUUUUGAAAACACCAAAAAUCUAUUUUCCCUUUUCAAUUUUUUUUUUGAAAUUAUUUUCUGAAUUUUCAUGACCAAACACCACAAAUUUCAACUCUAAAAAAUUUUUCCAAAAAAAAAAAGAAAAAAAAUUUCAUGGUGAAACGGUCCCCUUAAAUAUCCAGUUAUGUUAUUUCUCUUCUUUCGUUCAUCCAUAAGGCCGUAAUCAUUUUAAAUAUCCAGUGAAUCAUUGUUUUUAGUGUAGACAACUUGAUUUUAAUCAAAUUUGAUACUUUUUUUUCUCAAUAUUAUUUCACACUUUAGGAUAAGGGGUAAGUAUUUCUUUAUUAUUUUUAAUCAAAGAUUUCAGGCUCAAGUCAUAGUAUUAGCACAUCGUCUUUGCGGGGAAUAUUUUAUCCUCAAUGUAAUCUAUACAAAUUAAAUUUAAUCGAACUCAAAUUUCAUGUAGGGUGAAGGUGGAAAUAGAAAAGACAUAAUAUGUUUGGUCAUACUUCUAAAAUAAACUUAUUUUAAAAAGUUUUUUUCAAAAGAAUGUUUUUGGUGGGAAUCAAUUUUGUUUGACCAAUAAAUUUAUAAAGUAAUGAGCAACAAUUAGCGUUUGAUCAAACUUUUUAAAAGUAUUUUUCUGAAAAGUGUUUUUCAAAGAAGUGUUUUAAAGAGAAACAACCUUUUUUUUUAGUUUAUGAAAAGCUGUUUUUUCUGCUUCUCAGAAACACUUAUUUUUUUUUCAAAAGUUUGACCAAAAACCUCAUCUUUUUUAAAAGAAAAUAUUUUAAAUGAAAAAUAAACACUUUUUUAAGAAAAUUAAAAUUGAUCAAACAGGCCAAUAGUCAAUAUUCAAAUUAUUAAAAUGCUCAUAGUCAUGUGAGGGCACAUAUUUUAAUUUUUCCAGUAAACAAAUGUUGCAAAGACUUGUGAUUAACAAAUUGUAGUAAGAAAAUUGUAAUGCUUAAAUCACAUAUAAUGAAAUCCAAAAUCACUAGUACAGAUGCUACCAUUUACUGUAAUUAAAUUUCUUAAUGGGCUUUAAUAUAUGUAAACUUGACCGUUUAUUUACUUUUAUUAAUUGACAUUUACACUUAAUUAUUAGCCCACUAGCUUUCUAGACCAACUUUUUAAAACAUAUUUUAGCAAGUUGGCAUAAUUUUGUUGACUCAUUUGUAUCUUUUUCUAAGGUUUUGUCAUAAAUAACAAAUUGCCGAAUUUCCCAUAUGAAAAUAACGGCUCUUAUAUUCGGUACUAUCAUAUAUAUGGGAUUAUAAUUAGCUUACAUCACCAGCCAAUACUUUAGUAUUUCUAUUUGGAGACACAUUUUUCUAGUGUAAUAUAUGUGAAAAAUAAAAGUUUUCAUUUUGCUACCCAGCUCAUUAAAAAAGAAAAUUUUCACCUACUUUACGCUAUAUUAAAAUCUGCUUUAACUUAUUUCACUUUACUAAAAGGUCAAUAAAUCCAUGUUUUCGUCCUCUAGUUACGGUUCGGCUUGCUUUAAAUAAAUUAAAAUGAUGUAACUGUAUUAUUGCUGUUAAAGAGCUGAGCUAUGAAUAUAAUUUGAAUCCUAAAAGGUAAGUUCAACAAUAACAACAUACAUUAACAAUGUACUAACAUAAGGGUGUGUUUGGUUUAGAGGAAAAACGUUUUUGAAUUUUCUCAUACGCAUAUUUGUUGACUUAUAUAUUUUGAAAAAUGCUUUUCAUAUAGAUUUAUUUUCCUCAAUUUUAAGAAAAUUGACUUCCCUUCAUAAAUUAAAGAAAAUAUUUUUCAAAACUCUCUUACAACUUCACCACCCGAACCCAAAUCAAGUCCCUGGGCCUAACUCCGAAUUACAACCCGAGAUCAGAGACCCAACUCCCAAUCCCGACCCCAAUCUUGACCCUUGGCCUCAGCCCUGCGACACCCACCAUGAUCCGACUUUGAACUUCCAACAUGGUCUAGGGUUAGGGCAGGGUCUCAGGUUGGAGUCGAGGUCGACAGUCGGGUUCUAAAGAGGGAUCAGGAGUCAGUUCUCUGAUCAAGUUCGGGAGUUAGGACUCAAGUCGAGGUCAUUAGUCGGGGUCGAGGUCUAAGAUUUGGGGUGAGGUUCAAGAGUCGAGCCUCGGGUUGAGUCAAGAAUCGGUUCUAGAGUCAAAAUUGAAUCUAUGUGACUCAAUCUAUGUGACUCAGGUCAGAUCGAUAUAUAGUUGGGUCUCGGGUCAUGACAUAGUCUGGUCUUCGAUUGAGUGUCGAGAGUCGAGUUCAAGGAUCGGGUCCCAGGUUGAGGUUGCUAGUUGAGGCCCACGUCAGGUUUAACAACAGUGGUCAAGAUAAGAAUUCGAUUCACACAUCGAUGUUUGAUUGAAGUCUCAAAUCUCGGAUUAGAGUCGAGAUUGGGAGUUGAUCUCGAGUCAAGGUUGGAUCCUGGAUAUAGCUAGGCUCGUGGAAUAAGAUGAGGUGCUGAGUGGUAGAGGAGAGUCUAAUCUUGAGUCAGGGUCGGGAGUAGAGUUCGAGGGUGGGGUCAUGUCUCGGGUACGGGUGGGGAAUUGGGACCUAGGUCAGCAUAAAGAGUUAGGUCUCGAAUCAAGGUCGAAUCUCGGAUCCCGAGUUUUGCAUUGGGGUCACGUUCUGAAUUUGGUUCUCGGGGUCGUGAAUUGUGUUUCAAGUUGAGGUUAAGAGUCGAAUCUCGGAUCGAGGUACAAAUUUGGAAUUUGCAAUCUUCAAACAUUUGUGUAUGUAUUAUAAUUGUGAUAUUUUUUUAUUUCACACUCCAUAUGGAAUAUCAAUCCCAAAAUUAAACAUCAAAGUAACACAAAUUUAAAAUAAAAUUCAAUCUUAUACCGUUCAAAGUCAUACAUAUUUUAUAUCAGAUUCCUUACAUCUUUGAGUUUAGUCUAAUUUGUUACUAAAUAGUUAUUUUUCAGUCCAAUAUUGGUAAUUCCUUUUAUUAUUAAUACCAAAAUAACUUGUUCACCAACCAUUUGACUCUAUUUUUUCAACUCUACCUAGGGGCUUCCACCUUUUUGCUCAAUUGGUGAUUCAAACUCACAAUAUUAAAAUUAAAAAAAUAAAGGAUAUUUAUCAUCCGAGCAACCCUCUCUUGUCUUGUCGGUUGUCACCAAGUGACUCUAUAGCUUUCUCUGUUGAAGUUUGUUUUCUAUAAGAAAAACAUAGAGAGUCAUAGUCUAAAAUUUAGCAUAUGAUUCCCCUAAAUAAAUUUUGUUCACGAGAACAAUGAGGCGUUCAUCUUGUUCGAACAUUUCCAUUUUAAAUUUCAGCUAGCACUCUAGGGCAUAUAAUAUAAUUGGAACUAGAAUUUGUAAAGUGAGGUACAAGAUGCCCAAGACUACGUAUUUUAGUGAUUCACUCUAGGUCUCCAACUAGAGCCCCUCCCAAAAUAAAUUUAAGAAUAUGCAAAAUUUGGUAAUGAUAUGACAUACAAAACAGAAAGAAGAGAAAAUAAAACAAGCAUUGAAUUAAAGAAUAGUGAAUCAAAUUCUUCACUAACUUGAAAGACAAUAUGAAUUUCCACAAAGAACAAAAGUGACCACCAUUAAUAUCAUAGAGCUGCUUUUAGAAAAUGGACCUUUUCUUUUUGUGCUGAUCUCACUAGAAUUCACAGCAUCAUUUUUUUUUUUUGGUUGUGUGCGUACUUAUUCGUUAAUAAUGCUAUUUUUGCUAAGAAAUGAAGAAAAAAAAAGGUUUAUUUUAUAUUUUUCAUUUGGUUUGGGCAGUAUUGACCAAUCAAAAGCAAAUGAUGGGAUGGAGCAAUAUGUUGCCAAUUAGUAAUUAAGCAUCUUAAAAGAGAACAAGGAUAUACAAAAGGAAAUUAAAAUGUGUAAUAACCUUAUGCUAAGAUUUCUUUACUAUUAACAAAAAGAGUAAUAUUCUGUAGUUACCAAACUUCUAAAUAAGCUUAUUUUCAUUUCUUAAGUAUUAACAAAAAUUUUCUUUUGAUGCUUGUUAUAUACAAGAAUAUACUUAAUUCUCAACUAAUUAAAAUAUGUGAUCUUGGUAAUCAAACCGUGAAAUAGAGUAGUAAUUUUAAAAUUCUAUAAAUAUUCAUAAGCUAGAGAUAAAAAUACACAUUUCAAAUAGUUUAAAGGUAAAUAUACUUCGUCAUAUAUCAUGAUAUUGGGUUUAAGUUGAAUGUAUGAAUGGAAAAUGAAGGAAAUUAGUGGAGAAAAAGUGAGAUCAAACCUAAAAGGAAAGUGUACUCACAAUAAAGAAGGUUUACUAAUUCUCCCACAUUGGUGGGAGAAAGAAACUCUCAUGUGUUCUUAUUAAGAAACACCACUCCACUUAGACAGUGAGGCAAGAACCAAAAGGUGUCUCACAUUGUUAUUUCUUGCUAGACUCCAACUUUGGCUUGAUCAAAUGAUCGAUGAGAUUAAUUUUUUAGACAAAAUUUAUUUGAAACUUGUAAAAACAAGUGAAUUUUAUUAAUCCGAAAAAUUCAAAGAAAAAAACGAAAAAUACGCCAUGCAGAUGCAUGUAGAAAAGCAAAACAUUAAAAGGGGUGACUGUUCGGUCGAUGCGACUGUUCCAAAGGGAUACACUUUUCCGAUGAACCAUUGCUUUCUUCUGUAAGAGGCACUUGAUGACUAUAAAUACCUGCAUUUUCUCCACAGAUAGGAACAAAAAUUUUCAGAAUUGAAAAUACUUUUCUACUUCCAAAAACUCAUUGUGAUCAAGCUGCUGUUGAGUGUGUUCGACGAAUUCGAUAGUUUGAGGUACCGCUACUGACAAAUUGUGAACCAUUUUAUCCUGGGACAAAAAAAUUCACAACCUCGGGCACUUGAGGGGAAUUAAUUCCUUAAGGCCACUCCGUGAAGUCGGAGGACUUAGCUCUUAUUCUGUUUCAUCUUAUUUCUUUUACAUAACAUAACGUACUUCUUUGAUAGUUCUUGUUGAAGAUGUUAAAAACUUUAUUGUUGUUCUUGAAAAAGUCUUGAACUUGUGUUGAAAUUUAAUAUAUAAACAUACAGAUUGUGUAUCUGAAACAACACUGAAAGAUUGAAAUAAAAUUCAUCAAAAACUAAGGAACCAAAACGGUAAUUAACCCAAAAUAUCAUCGAAAUCUCUCUUGUUUUGGUCUAAGCUAGAAAUUUAAAUUAGCUUUCUUCAAUUAUUUUCUUGUUUCACACCAAACUAAACAAAAGGAAGAAAAUCACUUCUAUCAAUUCUUAUUUCUUUCCUUCUAUUUUCCUUUUCCUUUCUCUUCUAUAUCCGUAAUAUCCAAACGCAAGAGUCAAGAAGCUGCCUAAUAAUUGGAUUUUUUUUUUUUAAAUAUAAUCAAAAUGAACAUAAUAAAUUACCACAAAAGUUCAAAUAUGAGGAUAGUGGAAGUCAUACCAUAAAAUGAUAUAUUGUUGGUUUUAUCAAGGGAAUUACAAGUCUUAUGUUGAAUCAGUAAUAUACAAGAAAAAAUAAUUCAAAAAUGGAAGUAUCUUAGUAUGAAUACGUAGUUAAAUAAAGCAUAUUCGACUUAAUAUAUAUAACCACAAUGAAAAGCAUUGGAAUUGGUCCAAUAAUAUCAAGAGAAAACAAUGCAAGCUUCAAACAACGACCUAUAUUUAAAUCUCUUAUUGAUUUGAAAAUAGAAUUUCAACCUAGAUUUAGUCAAUUUCUAACAGUCCUAAACAACAUAGCCCUCAUACUAUUCUAGAUAGGAUUAAGACAGAAUUAAAAAAAUUUGUAAUUACUUUCACUAACAAAAAGUUAAGGUACUAGAUCUCCACCUUGUCAAGUCAAUUACUAUAUAAUAUUCACCCUAUUGUUGAAUGAAAAAGGCUAAUUAUUCCAAAAGAAAAACAUUUGGAAAUGGAAUAAUAUGUAAAGAAAAGUAUUAUACGUAGCAAAAGGAAUCGUUCUUUAAGUGGAAUUGAAAGUCGUUUGUUUUUUCUUUUAAAUGGUUAGCAAUUACCUCAAAAGUCGUUGAAAUUCGGUGCCCAAAAUUAAGAAUAAGAUUUUAAAAAAAAGCACAAUUUUUUUUUGUCUCUGUGUUAAAAAGAAAAUUAAAGCAGAUGAAGAUUCAGACUUUAGUGAAAAACUAUCCGCACUUGGUAUUCGUACAAAAUUAUAUGAAUUUAUUAUUUUUAAGUAAUUUAUGAGGUAACAUGUUUGCAUGUUAAUUACUAGUCAUGAUUAAAUCUUACAAAUUUAUCGAUGAACACAUAUAGAUAUAUUUAUUGAUUUGAUGUAAAUAUUAUAUGCAAAUAAUUUUUUACCUUUAAGAAUUAUAUUUGCACAAAUCUGAAGCUUCGUGCGCUAUUAUUUUAAGGACCCGUUUGAACAAAAAUAGUUUCGGCGCUUGCCAAUUUGGUAAGACUUAGUGAACAAUUGAUCAAUAAUAUAAAACAAUUACCCCCAAGUUAUCAAUCUGGCAAGAUUAGUGAAUAAUUUGAUAAAAUGGAAAAUGAAGAUGAUAUUUUCUUCAAGAUCUCUUAAAACACCUGUGACUUAUGGGCUUGAAAAGUUGCCCAUCACUUCAAUGUUUUCACCAAUCCAAGAGAGCUAAUGGGCCAAGAGAUAUGAUAAGAGAGCUACAACAUGCCUAAAAAUAUGUAAUUUUCGUGAGACACCCGAAAGGCAAAAAAAAAAAAAAAAUACUCUCUCCGUUUAAAAUAGAAUGAUCGAUUUUUUUUUUUAGUUCAUUUAAAAAAGAAUGUUCCUUUUUCUUUUUUGGUAAUACUUUAAUUUCAACUUUCCACAUGACAUGUUUAGGAACAUAAGAUUAAAGGGCAUUUUGGUACAUUUGACACAAGGCCACAAGAUUCAAAAAUUUUCUUUAUUUUCUUAAACUUUAUGUCAAGUCAAAGUAGGUUAUUUUUUUUUGAAACGGAAGGAGUAGUAUUUAACAACAUGCAAAAAAUAAAAUAAAAUGUUGAGCACCGUACUUAUUAGAUAUAAAAGUUCAGACUGUAUCUAGAAGCAGAAGGAGAGAUUAAGAAGAAAUGAAUCAAAUUCUUCACUACCUUUGAAAGCCCAAAAAAAAAUAAAAAAAUCCCACAAAGAAAAUAAAGUGACCACUAACUUCGUAGUGCGGCCGUUUCUUUUCUUAGACAAAAAUUAAAAAGGUGAAUUUUUUCUUUUGUGCUGAUAUCACUAAAAUCAAAUCUUAUGUUCAUAAUUUUGUAUACAUGUAUUUGAUUAAAAAUGAUUUGUGAGGAAGAGAUAAAUAAAAAAAAGUUGAUUGAUUAUAUGCAUUUUGUUUGGUUAAAGAUUUAGCAAUCAAGUUUAUUAACCAUAUCUCUAGUUUCAAAAUAGUUCGCCUUUAUUGACUUGAUAUUCUCUUAAGAUUAAAUUUAUCAGAAGCUUAUUUUAGCAAAUUAACCUUACUAAUUAUUUUUUGAAAAUGUAAAUUUAAAUAUAUACACUUUAGACGUGGAUCAAGAAUUAGCUUGUUUUAUGGGAGUGUUAGAGUAGUGACUCAUGGGCUAGAAAUGUACGUGAAUCCAACUUCAUAUGUCGAUGAAGGUCCACAAUUUGGAAAGGCAUAAUAGGCCCAAUUUUCAUAUUUGGGCUCAAACUUAAUAUCACCCAAUGAUCCAACGAUACAGCUCUAUUGUAUCAGAUCUCUAGGUUUUUGGGUCUAUAAAAUAAGAAAAUGGGUAAAUAACAUAUACAUACAUCUUAACUUAUCAUAUUUACACGAAAUUUCACCUUUCCAUAGUAAUUACAAAAAUUUCAACUUCUCUUUUUAUCUUUAAAAUACAUAAAUAACACUACCCCAAAAUCCUAAAUCCAAUUCGUCUUUUUCUUCCAUAUCAGCUGCCCCAAAUUCCAAAUCCAAUUCAAACACCCUUUUCCCCCUUUUCAAAAUAUUUGUUUUUAGUUUCUAAAGAUUUUUUAGCAAGAUUUCUUAAACGGAGGUUCGUAGGAAUCAAUACAAGGUUCUGUCAACACUAAGAAAGGUCGUUGUCGCCGUUGCAUAUUGUUUACCAUCGAUAUGGGACAAUUAAACUGUAAGUGGGUUAAGAGCACGCAUUAUGACCUAACUUUGAGUUAGUAGUAAAAGUUUGCAAAUUAACAAGUAAAUAAUAUUAUCCACAAAGAAAGUAAAGUUUGAGAACAAAUUUAGAACGACAACGCAUAACGUAAUUAAAUCGAGAUUCCUUAGUCACGAGCCGGUCUUGACCGGAGUUAAUAUUGUUGGAAUUAAGUAGCUACAUAGAUACAUACAAAUGUAUAUCUUUUGUUUUACACUGACUGGAGUAGAAUUUUGGACUUAGUCAAUAAUUUGGGCCAAUCCAUUAUUAUUCAAUAAGAAUGAUUAUUCUUUGUUCACAAAGAGGGUUAAUGGUUCUCUUACUUUUUUGGUUGUAUAAGUUGAUAAUAUCUUCCUUGCUGGGGAUGAUAUAUCUGACUUGGAUGAUUUAAAAUUAUUUCUGGACAUUCAAUUCAAGAUCAAAGAUCUUGGUUUAGUCCAUUAUUUUCUGGGCUUGGAGAUAUCCUCCUAUCCUCAAGGCUAUCUUAUGACUCGGCACAAGUUUACCUCUGAUUUAUUAGUUGAGUUUCGUUGUGAUCAAUUUUCACCUGUCUCUGCCCCACUGGAUACUUCCUUGAAACUUACUACUGACAUGGGUGCUCUUUUCACUGAUCCUUCCACUUUUCAUCGCUUUGUUGACAAGCUGAAUUUUCUUCAGCACACUCGAUCUGACAUUUCAAAUGUUGUUCAACAUUUGAGUAAGUUCUUAUAGGCUCCUGAAGUCCCACAUCUUGUGGCUGGCAUUCAUGUAUUUAGAUACUUACUCAAUGCUCCUGACCUUGGUUUGUUGUUUAAUAAUUCUAUGGAUUAUUCCUUAUUGGCUUAUUUUGAUUUUGAUUGGGCUGCGUGUGCGAAUUCACGCCGGUCAGUCACUGGAUUUUUCAUCACUUUGGGUGGCUCUCCUGUAUCAUGGAAAAGUAUGAAACAACCCACAAUCUUUCUUUCAUCUGUUGAGGCUGAGUAUCAUGCCUUAUGCAAAGUUGUGGUUAAAUUAUCAAGGUUGUUGCGUCUCUUAUAUGAUUUUGAUGUUGAUGUUUCGAACCAUGUUCCUGUAUAUUGUGACAGUCAAGAGCUCUUCAAAUAACUCGUAACCCUGAUUUUCAUGAACGCACCAAGCACAUCGAGACGGACUGCCACAUUAUUCGUGAUAGUGUUCACUGCGGCCUUGUCUCUCUUCAUUUCAUCGCUUCCGCAGACUAGUUGGCUGACAUUUUCACUUAGUCACUCCCAGGUCCAGCUCAUCAUGGCAUCCUCUGCAAGCUUGGUGUGCUUACACCCUCCAGCUUGAGGGAGGUGUUGGAAUUACGUGGCUAUAUAGAUACAUACAAAUGUAUAUCUUUUGUUUUACACUUACUGAUGUAUAAUUUUAGACUUAGUCAAUAAUUUGGGCCGGUCCAUUAUUAUGUCAUAUUGGGCCUUAUAUGUCUGUACACAUAUUGAUGACACGGUCCACUAUUACAAAGUUAAAUUGUAACACCCCGUAUUCAAGAACGUGUAUUGGCGUAUUCAAGUACGUGUAUUGGUCUUAUUUAUAUGGAAUUAAUUUUUUUUAUUUUAUUUAUACCGAAAUAUGUCCGUUGAUGGUUUUAUGCGAAGGUUAUUGAAUAAUUUUUUCAACGAUAUAAAGAUUUCCAAAAGUGGAUAGGUUUCGGAUAUAAUCGAGUACGUUCGAAACUAUAAAACGGUGGCCGAGAUAUUUGGGAAUAGUAAAUGUGCAGGAAAAUUUCCUGCACACAAAUUACUGAGGCCAGCCGAAUUUUUGGGUCAACUUUGAAUGAUCAUAAAUCCUUUAAUAUAAUGAACUGGGAGAGCUGCGACCUAUGAAAAGAAAGAUCUUUGAGUCUUCUUUCCAAUGCAAUUGGUUUCAUCCAANNNNNNNNNNNNNNNNNNNNNNNNNNNNNNNNNNNNNNNNNNNNNNNNNNNNNNNNNNNNNNNNNNNNNNNNNNNNNNNNNNNNNNNNNNNNNNNNNNNNNNNNNNNNNNNNNNNNNNNNNNNNNNNNNNNNNNNNNNNNNNNNNNNNNNNNNNNNNNNNNNNNNNNNNNNNNNNNNNNNNNNNNNNNNNNNNNNNNNNNNNNNNNCUUAUCAAAACAGUCCACCAAAGAACAGGUUUGACAUUAUUUAAGUUUUAAAGGCAUUUUGGUCAUUUCCUAUUAUAUUAUGGACGGGAAUAUGUGUAUAUAUACAUGUAUAUGAGUUCAAAAAUUCAUUUUCAUCAUCAAUCAUUGAGAAAGAACAAACCCUAGCCAAAUUUGACCUUUAAAUUACUUUUGAUUCAACUGUAGAAAUUCCAAAGUAAUUCGAUAACUGCGUUUGUCAUCUCGAGAGCUUCGAACGGCACCUAUUAUUUGUGCAAAUAGGAUUGCAUAAUCAAGAGGUGAAUUCUAAGGUAUGAAUAUUGUUUGUCUUUGUUCUCUUCCAUAUGUAUAUGUGUGAUAGAGGAUUAUAUGUAUUGGUUGUUAUUGAAAGGUGAUGAAAAUAGGGUUAUGGACUAUUUUGCAUGGUUUGGUUGUAUUGAAUUGUGGAAGGUGGAUAUGGUAAUUGAGUUAUGGAAGGUGGAUAUGGUGAUAUACUAUUGAAUUGAUGAUUAUUUAUGUCUAUGGCUCAAUUUGGUUUAAUGGAUUGGUUGGAAGGAUAAAUGAAUCCAAACUUGAUAUUGGAGGAUGUUGUAUGAAUAUGCAUGGCAUGUGAAUGUAAUUGGAGUAUAAGAGGGUUAAAGUGACACCCUUUAUGGUGUAAUUAAGGCUUACUACUUAACCACUAGUUUGGUGAAUUCAAAUAAUUGAAUUGUGACGUUUGGUUGCUAAUACUAGAUUGCUAUAUAUGUUCAUUGUAGAUAAGUAAUCCAAAAAGAUGAGAAGUCCAUUUGGGACUAGUAUUGAAGGUUGACAGUCAGGUAUGUAAAGCAUACUCUAUACCAUAUCUUUGUCAUGAAAGUGAACAAUUGUUCUAUUAAGAAAGUUUCCAAAGUUAUUCAGUAACAUGUGAUCCAUAAUGGUUUUGUAUGAUGUCCUACGUUACCAAUGAACUUGUUUCCACCCUACUAGAUGUCAAGAUAUUCCAAUACUUACCUGUUUUCCAAAUCUUACAUGUUUAUUACACUAAUGAAUGUCAGAAAGUAUUCGGUUACUCAAACAAGAUCCUUGUGCUAUUAAUGACUCCAAAACGUUUCACUGAUAUACCAAUAAGUUCCUACUUCAUUAUUAUGGCAUUGAUGACUCCAAAACACUUCAUUGAUGUGCCAAUGAGUUCUUACUUCAUUGUUAUUGCAUUGAUAGUCUAUUUAUAUGUCUCUUAUUAAUGUAUCAUUGUUUCAAAGUAUAAAAAAUGCGGUGGCGACCGAAAUAACAAUCUCAAAGAUUAAUUGAACNNNNNNNNNNNNNNNNNNNNNNNNNNNNNNNNNNNNNNNNNNNNNNNNNNNNNNNNNNNNNNNNNNNNNNNNNNNNNNNNNNNNNNNNNNNNNNNNNNNNNNNNNNNNNNNNNNNNNNNNNNNNNNNNNNNNNNNNNNNNNNNNNNNNNNNNNNNNNNNNNNNNNNNNNNNNNNNNNNNNNNNNNNNNNNNNNNNNNNNNNNNNNNNNNNNNNNNNNNNNNNNNNNNNNNNNNNNNNNNNNNNNNNNNNNNNNNNNNNNNNNNNNNNNNNNNNNNNNNNNNNNNNNNNNNNNNNNNNNNNNNNNNNNNNNNNNNNNNNNNNNNNNNNNNNNNNNNNNNNNNNNNNNNNNNNNNNNNNNNNNNNNNNNNNNNNNNNNNNNNNNNNNNNNNNNNNNNNNNNNNNNNNNNNNNNNNNNNNNNNNNNNNNNNNNNNNNNNNNNNNNNNNNNNNNNNNNNNNNNNNNNNNNNNNNNNNNNNNNNNNNNNNNNNNNNNNNNNNNNNNNNNNNNNNNNNNNUGUCAUAUCCAGUCACUUUUGGUAUUGUAUAAAAGUUAGUUAUAUGGCGGGGUGUGUCCCGACCUUAGUUAAACUCUGUGUAUUGUCUAGAGGCUUUGUCGACCUAAUGUAUAGUCAAGGUGGUGUUUUGUUAAUAGACGUGAUGGCUCCAAUGACCAAGUAUUGUAUAUACAUAUAUAUGUGUGCUCGAGCUUAUACAGAUGAUUAUUUCCUUUUAUAUGCGACAUGAUGCUGUCCGAAUUUCGGGUUGUCAUAGAGGUAUGCAUGAGAAGUAUAAGGUUAUGAGUUGGUUCUCCCGGGUCUCCUCGGUUACGGGUGCCAGUCCGCCCCAAUAGAAUUUGAGGCGUGACAUAAAUAUUAGUGGAUCUGGUUUUAGAUUUCGAUGGAUUAAAAAAAAUUCACUCUUUCUCUUCUUUCUUAUCCUCUCAAAUCAGAUUUGGGUUUGUCACUUUUGAUCCAUCAAAUUCAGCUCAAGUUCGAGAUUAACAAAUAUUAACUUAAACAGUGAGCUAAAUAAGCAAAGACAAAAAAAGAAACCAGAGGUAAAGAUAAAAGAAAUUUCAUUGCUUAUAGAUAGAGACACCAAAAUCAGAGUGUGAAUUUAUAAAGUACAAGGACUAUUUUCGACCAAUAAUUGAGUAUAAAAAAAACACCACCGUUACCAAUGACAAAAGCCCACUUGCCGACACAUCGUUGGGGAAUGCCAACCUAAUAUUGUCUGGCUGGCACGAACCCACGGAGGAUCAUUCAUGUACCUGAGAGCUCUGACACAUUGGUCCCCUGUCUGUUUUUUCGUGCGUGGUCGUUGUUGCUAGUAGGCCUGUGCCAUUUCUAUCUAGCCCGAGAGGACAUUCUUAAACUUUGAUAUUAUUCUCGGGAUAACAUCAUCAUAGAACAACUCCAGUUCUACUUGACCCGAGAUGGCCUAUAUGGUCCCGUUUGGAUUGGCUUAUUUAUGUGUUUUUAAGUUAAAAUUGAUUUUUAAGUACUUUUAAAGUGUUUGGGUAAAUUUAAAAAGUGCUUAUAAGCACUUAAUUUUAAGCUAAAAUACUAAAAAUAAGCCAAAAGCUAUAAGUUUGAAUUUUUAGCUUAUGACUUAUAAGUCAAAGAUAAAAUUUUUAACUCAAAAUGCCAUAGAUAAUUUCUAACAUAACCCACAAUGCCAUAUAUAAUUUAAUACAAAAUUAAAUUUCAAAAAUUAACUACAAAAAUAAAAUGUGGUUGAAGAAGAAAAUGGAGCAAAAUGGGAAAUGUGGAAGAGAAAAGAAAAUAAUAAAGUUAAAUAAUUAAUUUUUUAGAGUAAAAAAGAAAAAAAAAACAACGUGGCAGCGAGUACAGCUUACUGCCUGAAACAAUGUCUGGGCAUGAACUUUUAGGGGUGUAAAUAUUCUACUUUAAAAUAGUUCAGGAGGUCAUAAGACCCCCGCAAAGUAUUGGUGCGUAGUUGAGAUUUGGGGUAAAGAUUGGGAGAGCUUUUGACCAUUUUCUUUUAAGUAAAAAGUCAAAAGUCAAUCCAAACAAGCAUUAUACUUGCUAAAACUUUGUUGUCCCACACACACAUGUAGAAUUUAUAAACUUAUUACAAUAUUUAUUUUUCAAAGAAUUAUAAGAUCGCAAAGUGACUAGUAAACAUUAUUUUAUGAAAAGAAAAUCUUAUUUUUCUUUGGAUGCUUAUUGAUUAUUGGAGGAUUCAAUCAUUUUCUGUGUGUUAGACAAAUAAAUAACUUACGGACUGUAGUAAUUCUUCAGCGCAAAACAUGGUCUACGGUAUUCAUGAUAGCAAAGAAUAAUUUCACCCCUUUAGUAUCCAAGGUAUGAUUAUCCCAAAAUAAUAAAAUGGAUUCCUUUAAACAUUGUAAUUAUACUGUUAAGCCAACAAAUAAGUGGCACUUAAAUUUAAUUAUAAUGAGAUUUGUCCAAAGGUGAUAAUUAUGUUUUGUGGAUGUGGAAAAAUGAGCAGGGUGAACGUUGUAGAAAAGACCCCACAUUUCAAUUAUUUCUCCCCCCCAACCCCCACCCCCAUCAAUUCACCCACAAUUAUUGCACGGCCUAAUCAUUUUAUUUUCGUCCCUUCUUUUUUUUUUUGGUAAUCUAUUUAUCUUUGAUAAUUUGAACGGUAAAAAUUUGGCCAACUUUUGAAACGGCUAAAGUAUUUGAACGCAUUGAAUAUUGUUUUUCUUUUUCUCAUUGAAUAUCGUCCUGUUGAGCUGUUAUAGGCAAACUAAAUAACUAAGCUAUAGUUUUAUGUAAGUUGUUUAAUUGUUCAACAAUAUGUUAAACAUAUUCAUUUAUUACUAUUAACGAAGUUAGUCAGCAUGCCCGAAAAUUUAUGUAAUAGUAAUAAGAUUUCUAAAUAAAAUUUUAAGUUUAAUAAUUUACGAAUUUAGAAGAUUAUAGAAUUGAAUCCCAUUCAUCUUUUGUGAAACUUUACAUGUGACUAUUGAUGCAAACUCCACAAUGCAUAAUUGUUCAUCUGGGAAUUCUGAUACAUUUACACAGCUUUGAUGUUGAUGGGACUUCAAUUUUUUUUCCCCAACGUUUAUAAGAAUCUUAUUUCAAAAUUCAAAUAUGAAAUUUCUUACUACUAAAUAAGUACUAUGUUACACUUGUUAACCCCGAUCAAACCUUAUAAACAUCAGUAAGGGUGUGUUUGGUGUAAAGGAUUUUUUUUGAAUAAAAUAUCUUUGUUGGAUUACAACCAUUUUGGUUUUCUAAAUAAGAAAAAAAAAAUCAGUUCAAGAAUAUGUAUAUGAAAUCUAGGAGAACACAGUGGGGAUGGGAGUAGGGGUAGGAAUGUGAGGAUGGUGGGAUUGCAUGUUUGGAGAAUGAGUAACGAAAUGCAACUUAUGGAUUCAUUUUCCCUACUUAAUUAUAAUAGGAAUUUAUUUUUCUAAUAAUUAAAGAAACUUGUUUUUUCCACCACCAAGGCGCUCUUGUUUUUUCCCAUUUUCUCUACAUUAUUAUUCUCCCUUUGCUUAAAACGUUUCACAAAAUGGCCAAAGCUAAACAUUAUUUAACCAAUCUGAAUUAGUGUAUGUUAAUCUCAAAUACAGCUUGACGGAUAUUUUUAUUGUACGUCCUAUGAACCCCAUAUUGCCGUAAUCAGCAGUCCAAAGAUUUCCAAAAUACAUUGGUUGGAUGAACUGAAGUCAAUAAUGUAUAUUUCUAUUACUUCGAGCAAAAGCCAUAACUGAAAACGUAACAUAAGCUGAAUUUUGAAGCUCCUUGUUGACUCCUGAAUUCAAUUACUCGUACACUUUUUUUUUUUACAAAAUUUCCUAAGAUAUCAUAAUUUAGAGAUGUAUUAUUAAGAGUGAAAGAACUUUCAAAAAUCUUACAAUACUUAUACAGAAUAGUAAUUCAUCAAUAAUAAAAAGGUGUUGAAUCUGAUCGACCAUGGUAAAGGUAUGGCACCAUAUGGAUCUUUGUCCCAAGAGCUGAGAAAAAUGUUCACAACCUGGGAUAUUGGAAGAGGCGGAUCCAAGAUUCGAAAGCUUCGGGUGUCACCUUAUUUUGAACAAUAACGUAUACUUCGUACAUAUUUUAAGAUAGUAAAAUCAAAAUUCAAAGAGAAAACUAUAAUUAUAUAUAUCUUACAAGUGUUAGUGUUAGUAUUGCUUGCCCAGUUGGUAUUGUCAAUUGUUUUGAUAUUGUGGGUGCCAGGGAUAAUAUUUAUACGCCACUAGUUUCCUUUGAUACAGUGUUUCAUCCGAGAAGUACGGGUGCCGUGCCACCCCAUACCUUCUACAUGGAUCCGCCCUGAAUGUUGGUCAUGCAAAAGGUUGCGCAGCUUUCAAGACUAGUAGUAUUUCUCACUCUAACCUUCGAUUUUCAUUCCAAUAGAUUCGUUUUCUUUAUUUUUUGUAGCAAAAUCUGGUGACAUGUUUCUAGGAACGCUCGAGGAUAAUGUUAAUAAAAGCAUUAAACAUCCCAUUCUACCAGCAUUAAAAGUCGCAUGAUGCCAGGUCAGCCCCAAAUACUUCUAAUAUUAUUUGUCCAUUUAUUAAUUGUAUCAUAAACCAACCAAACAUAAUCAAAGCAAGCACCCUAGAAUACUACUAAAUCAUUAUUAGAAUUCGCAAAAACAAGAAAAAGUAACAAUAAAACAAGAAAUAAAAAAAAGUCUCAAACACACUUCCCACUUCCCAAACAAUCUAGUACUCACUUCCCACCCAUGUAGUACACAACAAUCUCACAAUGACCACUCAAUAUCUCAGUACUAGUGCUUGCAGGGCAGAUUCUUUGAAGGUUCAAAAGCAAAUGGGCCCACAUCAAAGAGCUUAACACCAGGUUCAGAAUUAUUCACAGGCUUUGAUGAUGCCAUGGGAGAUGGGGGUGCAGGGACCAAUAUGGCUCCACUCUGUCCAUUGUGGAAGUCUGUUGGGACACUGCAUUCUGCUUUUGAUGAUUUAGCUAAGAAGACCUUGCACUUGUGGUAACCUGCAGUGGUCAACCACUUCGGUUGAAUAUAAAAGUACCCAUUCUUGUCUGUUGUGCCUAGACUUGUUAGAUGGAACUUUGUGUUGUUGCAUGCCAGCUUCACCACCGCGCCUGUACCAUAAAAUUAACACAAGCCAUUAGUCCAUUACAUUGUGGUAAAUUUAAAUCGAUGUCUGUUGAACUCUUUUAACUAUGCCAUACAUUUUAUUUUGUGACAACAAGAAAGGAUAGACUCGUGAAAUAACAACGGCCUUAAGAGUUAUUUUGUUACAAACAUACAAUAAAGAGUCACACCAAAAUGUAGUUUAAAGAAGAGCUCACCUUGAAUAGGAGAAGCUCCCAAGAGGGUGUCAACUCCCCUAUACUUGCAAGAUUUGCAGUAAACCACUCCCCUUACGCCUACAAACAUCCUCAUCGGAGGUGGAGUUGGUGGUUUAACUGGCGGAUAUGGUUUUACUGGAGGCUUAACUGGCGGAGAUGGUUUUACUGGUGGCUUAACUGGCGGAGAUGGUUUUACUGGUGGCUUAACUGGCGGAGAUGGUGGUUUACUAGGAGAAUGUGCUGGUGGAGUUGGCGGUUUAACUGGUGGAGAUGGUUUUACUGGUGGUUUAACUGGCGGAGAUGGUGGUUUGCUAGGAGAAUGUGCUGGUGGAGUUGGCGGUUUAACUGGUGGUUUAACUGGCGGAGAUGGAGGUUUACUAGGAGAAUGUGCAGGUGGAUACGGUGGUUUAACUGGUGGAGAUGGUGGUGGUGAAGAGUGAGAAGGAGGAGGAGCAGGGGCUGGAGAGUGCUUGUGGUGGUGGUGGUGGUGGUGGUGGCCACCUUUAUGAGGCUUAGGGGCUUCAACAGGUGGGGAGCUAACAGAGGAAUGAGGAGCUAGUUCUGAAGUCACAAUGCCAUCAACAUUUUGGCCAAGAACUGUGAAUGAAGUAACUAGUAGUAAAGCUACAAUAAACCCAAUGGACUUUGUUGGAACAAACCCCAUUUUGUUCGACAAA